rnacentral:pre_miRNA from 2 species
AUUAUACUUCUUUCGUCUGAAAGUAUUUGUUCUAGAAAUGGAUGUAUCUAGACUAAUUUUAAUUAUAGAUACAUCAUUUUAUUUAGUUUUUAACAAGUAUUUCUGGACGAAGGGAGUAUACA